GACCCUCGGGCUCGGCUCCGCCCUGUCACCGCUCGGAUUGUGGGGCGGUUGCACUUGUCACCAUAGAUCCAGUAUCUUUGCUUGUCACCGGCAACCGGGCCGGAGAUGCGAAGGUAGAGCCGGUGGAAAAAAACAACAACACACAAAGGACACGGCUUCCAGCUGAAGCCGAGCGACAGCGGCCAGGAGAAAUGCAGUCGGAGGAUGCUCGCUAUCUGAAGAGGAAAGUGAAAGGGGGCAAUAUAGAUGUUCAUCCAGCGGAGAAAGCUUUGGUUGUUCACUAUGAAGUGGAAGCUACGAUUUUGGGUGAGAUGGGCAAUGCCAUGCUAGGAGAACGGAAGGAAUGUCAGAAGAUUAUUCGCCUGAAAAGCUUGAAUGCUAACACUGACAUCGCAUCCCUGGCACGCAAAGUGGUAGAAGAAUGCAAGCUCAUUCAUCCGUGUAAACUAGCAGAGGUUGAACAGCUAAUCUAUUACCUUCAGAACCGCAGGGAUAGCCCUCCAGGAAGAGAAAAACAAGAAAAAAAGAUUGGCAAGCUGAAAGAUCCGCCUCCUUUUGAAGGAAUGGAAAUUGAUGAAAUAGCAAAUAUUAACGAUAUUGAAGAUUACAUAGAAUUGUUGUAUGAGGAUAUAACUGACAAAGUUCGAGGUUCGGCACUCAUUCUUCAGUUGGCUCGCAAUCCUGAUAAUUUGGAAGAAUUGCUGCAGAAUGAGACUGCGUUGGGAGCAUUGGCUCGAGUGUUGAGAGAGGACUGGAAGCAAAGUGUGGAGCUUGCAACCAACAUUAUUUACAUAUUUUUCUGUUUCUCAAGUUUUUCUCAAUUUCACGGGCUAAUCACUCACUAUAAAAUUGGUGCUCUCUGUAUGAACAUUAUUGACCAUGAACUGAAGAGACAUGACCUAUGGCAAGAAGAACUCAAUAAAAAGAAGAAAGUAGUUGAAGAUGAUGCUGAUAACCAAAUCCUGAAAAAGGAUUAUGUGAAAACAUACAAGAAAUAUCAGGGACUAGUUAUCAAGCAGGAGCAACUGUUGAGAGUUGCUUUCUAUCUUCUGUUGAAUUUGGCGGAAGACACGAGGACUGAACUCAAAAUGAGGAACAAGAAUAUUGUCCACAUGCUUGUGAAAUCACUUGAUCGAGAAAACUUUGAGUUGCUGAUCCUAGUGAUGUCCUUCUUAAAAAAACUUAGCGUAUUUGUAGAGAACAAAAAUGAUAUGGUGGAGUUAAACAUCAUUGAGAGGCUAACAAUGUUGGUGCCCUGUGAUCAUGAGGAUCUUCUGAAUAUUACCUUGCGCUUGCUGCUGAAUCUUUCCUUCGACACUGGGCUUCGGAACAAGAUGGUCCAAGUGGGCCUACUCCCAAAACUGACUGCACUGAUAGGUGCUGAAAACCAUAGGCAAAUAGUGAUGUGUAUUCUGUACCAUGUCACCAUGGAUGAUCGCUUCAAAUCUAUGUUUGCAUACACUGAUUGCAUUCCACAGUUAAUGAAGAUGUUGUUUGAAUGUGAAGAAGAGCAUAUUGAUAUGGAAUUAAUCUCCUUUUGUAUUAACCUUGCAUCUAACAAGAGAAAUGCACAACUAAUCUGCGACGGAAAUGGCCUUAAACUGCUAAUGAAACGAGCCUUCAAAUUCAAGGAUUCGCUGCUGAUGAAAAUGAUCAGGAACAUUUCACAACAUGAAGGCCAAAGCAAAGAUUUAUUCAUAGAUUAUGUUGGGGACCUGGCAGCUCAGAUCAAUAUCAAUGAAGGUGAAGAAUUUGUUAUUGAGUGCCUUGGAACAUUGGCUAAUCUGACAGUUCCAAAUCUUGACUGGGAGCUUGUGCUGAAAGAAUAUAACUUGGUUCCAUUCCUCAAGGACAAACUGAAACCAGGUUCGACAGAAGAUGACCUGGUUCUGGAAGUGGUGAUUAUGAUUGGCACUGUGUCCAUGGAUGAUUCCUGUGCAGCAAUGCUAGCUAAAUCUGGAAUUAUUCCAGCACUCAUUGAGCUUCUAAAUGCCAAGCAAGAAGAUGAUGAAUUUGUUUGCCAAAUUGUAUAUGUCUUCUACCAGAUGGUUUUCCACCAAGCUACCAGAGACGUAAUUAUAAAGGAAACCCAGGCUCCAGCAUACUUGAUUGAUCUAAUGCAUGAUAAAAAUGCAGAGAUACGGAAAGUCUGUGACAAUACGUUGGACAUCAUUGCGGAAUAUGAUGAAGAAUGGGCCAAAAAAAUUCAAAGUGAGAAGUUUCGCUGGCACAACUCACAGUGGCUGGAAAUGGUUGAGAACCGUCAGAUGGAUGAAAGUGAGCCCUAUGUCUAUGGUGAUGAUGGGUUAGAGACAUUUAUUCAUGAAGGAGAUAUUCUUGAAAGACCUGAUCUUUUCUACAAUGCAGAAGGACUUUUGCCCCCUGAUGGAUCCAUUAGUCCAGAUUUCUUAACUGACUACCAGUUUCAAAACGGUGACCUUGUUGGACAGCAUCCUUAUAGCAGGUUCUGACAGCUGGCUAAGCCAGGCGCAUGGAACCCCAGCGCUAAAUGUUUCUCUAGCAUUUCAAUGGGCAUGGUCUUGUACAUGAUAUUUACAUCUGGAAGGCUUUGCGCUUCAUAUAGCUUUGAAGUGAGGUGUGGAGAUGGCAUCAUUUUAGGAAGUUUCCCAAGAAAAUCCAUUAAAGUAUGGCAGUUGAUGGAUUUGGUCAGCCAGUUAGCUUUCCUGGGCGUCCAGUUACAGCUUAUGGUUACCGUCCAGAUGAUCCUUUCCUCUAUCCAUUUGGAACCAGAUAAGCUCAGCAAAAAUAUUUAUUAGUGCUUUUGUAACACUCCUGUACAUAACUGCAUGUGUAAUGUGCUGAGGGUCUUUGUUGGUACUGCAUAGUGUCAGAGUUAAGAUGUGAAUUGCAUUUGUACAUGUAACAAUCCAAUAUCCUGACUGAAGUAUAUUGGUUGUAAUUUGUAUUAUUUAAUGUUUUUCUGCCUUUAUUUGAAACACUGGUUGAAUCUGAAAAAACAAAACUGGAAUGAAGUCUCCAAUAUACAAACUGUACUUUUAAAUAAGCCAAUUCCACAGCUAAUACUUUGCUAUUUAAGUGUGGGAUCUCAUUUCAUUAAUCUAAAAAUGUUUCAUUAUAGCAAUUUUACCUUUAAAUCUGUUUACCAUAACAAGCUGCAUUUCAUAUUUGCAGAAAUAAUCACACAAAAUGCAGAGCCAUAUUCCAUGUUUUAAAUUAUUUGAAUUAUCUCGCUGCAGUUUAUUACAUUUCUGUUCUGUUUGUUCCACAUCCAGUAUGCUUGUUUCUAUUUAUUUUGCCAUUACUGUGAUCAAUGAACAAAUGUGGAUUUAAACAGAUCUGGCAGCAUUGUUUUACGUUUGGAGAAUCUAUUAAGUUAAGAAAUAAGAACUGAAAAUAAACAGCCAAAAUCAA